GGCGAAAGGGUGAGUAACACAUAGGCAAUCUACCCGAGAGUCCGGGAUAAUCGCUGGAAACGGCGACUAAUACCGGAUGGCCCGAGUCGGAGGCAUCUCCGGCCCGGUAAAGGAGGGGACCUUCGGGCCUUCCGCUCACGGAGGAGCCUAUGUCCUAUCAGCUCGUUGGUGGGGUAACGGCCCACCAAGGCGAUGACGGGUAGCCGGAUUGAGAGGUUGGCCGGCCACACUGGGACUGAGACACUGCCCAGACUCCUACGGGAGGCUGCAGUCGAGAAUCUUCCGCAAUGGGCGCAAGCCUGACGGAGCGACGCCGCGUGGAGGACGAAGGCCCUCGGGUUGUAAACUCCUGUCACGUGACGAGAAAGGCGCACGGUUAAUACCCGUGCGUUUGACAACUCAUGAGAGGAAGUCACGGCUAACUCUGUGCCAGCAGCCGCGGUAAUACAGAGGUGGCUAGCGUUGUUCGGAAUCACUGGGCAUAAAGGGCGCGUA
rnacentral:rRNA from 1 species